GUUUUGGCCAAAUCCAACAAUACCUUCUAGGGUGUUGCUCCCUCUACCUCCCUGUUUUCUCCUCCCACCUCCCCAAUUUUUUUCAAUUUUCUCUUAUUACAAAAAUAACCUUUUUCUUUAUCUUUUUUACCCUUUUUAAUACUUUGCAUCUCCCCUCCCCCAGCCGCACCUCCUCACUUUACUUUUACUCUCUUCUUCCAGCUCCACCUCCCCCUCCCC
rnacentral:lncRNA from 1 species